CCUCCCAGUGUUUUGUUUUGCUGAAAAACAUUAACAUCCUAUUCAAUUUUAAAGUUAAAAGGCAAGUCGCUAUGUCAGUGGGUACAGUGCACCCCUGACAUAGGCGUGGGGACCAUAUCUAGGGUUGCACGCCCAUUACAAGGUCUCAGGUUCCCAGGCAUAAAGGCACAGCUGCAGAAAGGGAGUGGCCUUUUAGGGACCGGUCAUUCUGUCCUAAAAAUAUGCUGAUGCUACCCUAAGCACGAAUUACCAGCACUUCAAGUUCAGUUCUGCUCACCCAGCAGCUGCGUCGGACAUCACUUCACAGUUCCUCUAAUUGCUCUCGAGAUUGGAUUCCUCACUGACAAGCCAGAAACCAGACUAGCGUCUAGGGAGCAUCUGUAUGGCUUGCUUUCGGUGGGCGUUCAGCCCAGCAACAGACACCUGACGAGCACACCACUUGACUGUGUGUGUGUGCCACCGCCCUCCACACGGUGCCUUCUCCUCUUCUCUUGUUGCUCGUGGUGAUCAGGGUAAACGUGGCUCCCAUCUGGUGGCCCUCACCAAUGCUUCAGGCCCCACGGGACCCUGCAUUGGAUCCGCAAGAAGGUCCCAGAAGCAGAGGAAAGAAACGGAGAAUGAGUGACCAUCAAGAGCGGGACGAUGCCUCUGAGUGGAGGCCCAUAGGCCCAGGCAGAGCUGAGGAGGGGAUGCACUCUCUCUUAUUUCAAUAGCAGCUAGGAGACCAGGCCUGAGAACUGGUAUGAGAAGACAUUACCAUUUCAAAAAGGGCUUGUCUAGGGCCCUGGAAUUUUAAACUGCAGUUCUUGAAGACAUGGUUAAUCCCUCCCAAACUUUGAUCUGUUCUUGCUGUAUGGUUGGACACUGGUUUCUCUGUCUCGAUUCUGAGCCAUCUAAAAAUGGCUACCCAAGCCAUCACAAUGUGAUAAGAAACAGUUGGGGCCUCUCUAGAGCCCACUGUUCUUGAUUUAGUGGUGUUGUAAACCUGGCUGCACAGAGCUACUAGUAAAAAAACAAACUUCCUAAAGUGA